AUACGGAGGAUCCGAGCGUUAUCCGGAUUUAUUGGGUUUAAAGGGAGCGUAGGUGGACAGUUAAGUCAGUUGUGAAAGUUUGCGGCUCAACCGUAAAAUUGCAGUUGAUACUGGCUGUCUUGAGUACAGUAGAGGUGGGCGGAAUUCGUGGUGUAGCGGUGAAAUGCUUAGAUAUCACGAAGAACUCCGAUUGCGAAGGCAGCUCACUGGACUGCAACUGACACUGAUGCUCGAAAGUGUGGGUAUCAAACAGGAUUAGAUACCCUGGUAGUCCACACAGUAAACGAUGAAUACUCGCUGUUUGCGAUAUAUAGUAAGCGGCCAAGCGAAAGCAUUAAGUAUUCCACCUGGGGAGUACGCCGGCAACGGUGAAACUCAAAGGAAUUGACGGGG
rnacentral:rRNA from 1 species